AUCCUAGGACCUCACUUAACAGCUUAAGCUAUUGGGUUGAGAUGGUUCUUUGACAUGAUAUCAGAGCCUUGAUAACCAAGUGGUCUCGAGUUUGAAUCUCAUCAUCCUCAUUUAUUUGAUAAAAAAUACUUAAAGGGGUGUGUUAGAGAAUAAUAUAAAUCAUAUUCUGGAACCUCACCUAACAGCUUAAGCUAUUGGGUUGAAAUGAUUCUUUGACAUU
rnacentral:pre_miRNA from 1 species